rnacentral:rRNA from 1 species
AUACGGAGGGUGCAAGCGUUGUCCGGAUUUAUUGGGUUUAAAGGGUGCGUAGGCGGUGCGCUAAGUCAGUGGUGAAAUCCCGCAGCUCAACUGCGGAACUGCCAUUGAUACUGGCGCACUUGAGUACGGACGAGGUAGGCGGAAUUUAUGGUGUAGCGGUGAAAUGCAUAGAUACCAUAAAGAACACCGAUAGCGAAGGCAGCUUACUAGACCGUAGCUGACGCUCAGGCACGAAAGCGUGGGGAGCAAACAGGAUUAGAAACCCUUGUAGUCC